rnacentral:rRNA from 1 species
GUGGGGAAUAUUGGACAAUGGGCGAAAGCCUGAUCCAGCAACGCCGCGUGAGGGAUGACGGCCUUCGGGUUGUAAACCUCUUUCAGUAUCGACGAAGCGCCCUGUCGGGUGGUGACGGUAGAUACAGAAGAAGGACCGGCCAACUACGUGCCAGCAGCCGCGGUAAUACGUAGGGUCCGAGCGUUGUCCGGAAUUAUUGGGCGUAAAGGGCUCGUAGGCGGUUUGUCACGUCGGGAGUGAAAUCUUACAGCUUAACUGUGAACUUGCUUUCGAUACGGGCAGACUUGAGGCAUUCAGGGGAGAACGGAAUUCCUGGUGUAGCGGUGAAAUGCGCAGAUAUCAGGAGGAACACCGGUGGCGAAGGCGGUUCUCUGGGAAUGUACUGACGCUGAGGAGCGAAAGUGUGGGGAGCGAACAGGAUUAGAUACCCUAGUAGUCC